UACGAAGGGGGCUAGCGUUGCUCGGAAUGACUGGGCGUAAAGGGCGCGUAGGCGGUUUGUACAGUCAGACGUGAAAUUCCUGGGCUCAACCUGGGGGCUGCGUUUGAUACGUGCAGACUUGAGUUCGGAAGAGGGUCGUGGAAUUCCCAGUGUAGAGGUGAAAUUCGUAGAUAUUGGGAAGAACACCGGUGGCGAAGGCGGCGACCUGGUCCGAUACUGACGCUGAGGCGCGAAAGCGUGGGGAGCAAACAGG
rnacentral:rRNA from 1 species